UCUCUUUCUUAUCGAAUAGAAGUGUAUACAAAAUUCACAUCGUGUCCUGUGAAUAUCGACUCAGUUCACAACCAUCUCUGGCAGGUUUUCUCUCUCAUCAAACACCCCUGUCUCUCCUAAAAUUUUCAUCUGCUUAGUAGUGCCUUUCUGAUAAAACCCAUCUCGGAUUCUCAUCUGUACCCACAAUUUCUCUCUUGAAAUCUAGCACUUGUCCGAUACAAAGCAUCUCCCCUUCUCAUCCACGCAGUGAUUCUCUUUCUAAUUCACUUAACCAGUCUAUCUCUCAUAAGGUCAAAUCCUCAUCAACACACAAAACCCAUCUCAUAGUUGUAAAAUAUCCCUUUAAAUCCGCGAUCUGACAGGUCUUCCAUUGAUUCAGAAAGCCCAGUCCAUGCAUCUUUUGCUCUAUAUCUCGCCCUACUUUAAAUCCCCAUUUAUGCACAAAACCCAUAUCCAAAUUCGUGCAGAAAACCCACUUGAAUCCAUGAACUAACUGGCUGUCCGUUGAUUCCAAGCGGGUCUGGUUCAUAAACCCCGCUAUGGUUCCGGCAAUUGUUGAUUCGCUUCUUCAGAGGUCAUUGGAGGAUUUGAUCAAAGGCCUUAGAAUCCAAAUGAUUGGCGAAACCCAGUACCUGAAUAAAGCCAUGGAAGAUAUUAGGAAGGAAAUCAAAUCAACUGAUCACCAGAUGAAAGCCAUUGCCUUGCAAAAGCUCACAUAUCUCAACAUGCUUCAUGGUUUCGACAUGAAUUGGGCAUCCUUCCAUGUCGUAGAGGUAAUGAGUAUGCCUAGAUUUUUCCAUAAAAAGAUUGGUUAUCUUGCUGCUUGUCAAAGCUUCUCUGAGCAAACUGAGGUUUUAUUACUAAUAACCAAUCAGUUGAAAAAGGAUUUAGGGGGCACUAAUGAAUAUGAAGUAGGCCUAGCUUUGAAUUGCUUAUCUGUUAUUGCUACAUGUGAUCUUGCUAGAGAUUUAACCCCUGAUAUUUUCACUUUACUUGGUAGUAGUAAGAUUUAUGUGAAAAAGAAGGCCAUUUCUGUGGUUUUGAGGAUUUUUAAGAAGUACCCAGAUGCUGUUAGGGUUGCAUUUAAGCGUUUAGUGGAGAAUUUAGAGCGCUCAGAUGUUCAAACCAGUUCGGCAGUUAUUGGGGUGUUUUGUGAAUUAACAAUGGAUGACCCAGUUUCAUAUCUUCCUUUAGCUCCAGAGUUUUAUCGAUUAUUGGUUGAUUCAAAGAAUAACUGGGUAUUGAUUAAGGUUUUGAAGAUUUUUGCUGUUUUGGCACCUCUAGAACCUCGAUUAGCUAAGAGGAUUGUAGAACAAGUAUCCGAUCUUAUGAGGAAAACAAUGGCUAAGUCACUUCUUUUGGAAUGUAUCAGAACAGUGGUUUCGGGCCUUUCAGAUUACAAGUCAGCAGUUCAACUCUCGGCAGAAAAAAUCAGGGACUUUCUUGUGGAGGAUGAUCCAAAUUUGAAGUAUUUGGGUUUACAGGUUCUUUCCACUCUAAUGCCCAAUCACUUAUGGGCAGUUCUUGAAAACAAGGAGCUCAUUGUUAAGUCUCUGGAUGAUGAGGAUCCAAGCAUUCGGUUGGUGGCCCUGAAUCUUGUGAUGGGCAUGGUAUCAGAGGAGAAUUUGGUAGAGUUUUCACAGGUUUUGGUCCAUUAUGCACUUAAGUCCGAACCAGAAUUCUCUAACAAAAUAUUGGGUUCUGUUCUUUCCACUUGUAGUAGGAACCUUUAUCAAUUGGUUUCAGAUUUUGACUGGUAUGUUGCACUUUUAGGUGAUAUAUCGAGAAACCCACAUUGUCGACAUGGCCAAGAAAUUGAAAGGCAGCUUAUAGACAUCGCUCUGAGGGUAGAAGAUGCUAGAGCAGAGCUUGUACGAGUUUCUCGUGAUCUAUUGAUCAACCCUGCACUUCUUGGGAACCAAUUUUUGCACAGGGUUCUCUCUGCUGCUGCUUGGAUUUGUGGGGAGUUUUCUGAGUUUUUGAAGGACCCUUUUGAGAUUAUGGAGGCUUUGAUUCAACCUCGCACUGUUCUUUUGCCACCAUUGUCUAGAGCUGUUUAUAUCCAAUCAGCACUUAAAGUUUUAGUAUUUUGCUUUCAUGGGUAUAUGAAUAAAAAAGAAAACAUGCUCUGUGAUCUACAUAGUGGUAGCCGUGGAAGCCAGAGGAUAGUGGGUGAAGAUUUGAGCUUACAAGUGGGUAAUGGUGGUUUAGAGGUAUCAGAAACUGAUGGGAAAUCAUGCUCGGCAGCUGAAGGUUCUGAAUCGGUAGGAGGCGAAAUUCUAGCAGAUUUUGAUGAAAUAGAGGCCCUUAGAGAUGACGGGCUUAUCUUCAAGAAGGAAUCUCUUCUUCAUCUGGUUAAUCUCAUCAAGAUGGCUAUUGGUCCAUUAUUGGAGAGUGAUGACGUGGAGCUGCUUGAGAGGGCACGUAAUUUACUUGGUCUGGUUGAUUUGCUUGAAGAUAGUCCUGGGUUUCUUGCGGUGAACGAAGGGGAAGAAAAUGCAAACUCAGUUCCUGAAUCUUCAGAAAUUAUCGAACUGAUGCAUGGUGUCUUCUUAGAGGAGCUCACUCCAGUUUCUGUGCAUGCCCAGGAAAGAGUUCAGGCACCUGAUGGUCUCACUCUCCCUCAAAACCUUUCUGAAUUGGCUGCUAUUAUAGGCGAGGACCCUCUUUCUCCAAGUGGGGUUUCAAUUGGGCCUCCACAAAGUGGUGAAUGGGACAAUAUUUCCUUCCUUAAUAAACAAAAGCAAGAACCUGAACCUUCAGGAGAGGGCAAGUCUUUGUUAGAGGAACAUCGAAAAAGACAUGGGUUAUUUUAUUUGUCUCCAAGUAAAGGUGAAACAGAAUCUAAUCUUGACUAUCCAUCUGCAAAUGUUGUUGAGGCUCCUAAUGAUACCCCCAAUGCUCCUAGUGAUCUGGUGAGGCUUACAGAGAAAACCUUUGUUUCCAAAAAGCCAACUCGUGCAAAGCCAAGGCCAGUGGUGGUAAAGAUAGAUGAUGGAGAUGAGGUGGUUACCCAAACCGAGAAGCAAAUGAAGGGAUCAAAAGAAGACUUGCUUGCUGGUGUGAUCAGAGAUGUUCUUCUAAGUGGUAAAGGGGACCCCUCGAGCAGUUCAUCCCAUAGGAAAGAAAAAAAUAUCAUGGAUAUGCAUACACCCGAAGAAAAUUCAGAGGCUAUUGAGAAAAAUAGGCAUGGGUCUCCUAGUUCUAAGAGAACCAAGCACAAAAGUCAUGGUAAAGGACGACAUAAAAGUUCAGGGAAGAAUGAGGACAAUGAAAAACACAAGAAUGGUCAUCAUCAAAAUACAAAACAUAGGAGCUGGCGAAGAGCAGAGAGUCCUAGAAAGGUGGAUCCACAAGCCCAAGUCAUUCCAGACUUUCUUUUGUAGCUUGUUUCAGCUUACUUGUUUCCUAUCAGGUAUCAGAGCAGGGUCACAGAUCUUCUCAGCGCAAUCAUAAUCAAUCAAGGUAACCCAUAAUCUCUUUUUUCCUUCACUUAUUUCUCCCUCGCUCUUAUCCCUGCUUCUCGUAUUUCUUCAAAACGACAACUAAUGUGUCUCGAUCAUCUCCUUUCCUGAUAUUUUCUCACCAUUUAAAUCCUAUCCUGAAAACCCUAAUCGAUCUGCCUAGACCCUAAUAUCUAAUCUUCUAAAAGACCCUAACCUUAAGUCCUCUCGUAAAGCAACCCUGAUAAAAAAUAGUAUAACUACUCUCUAAUUUGAUUCUUCACUUUGCCCUUAUUUCUUGCAGCGGUCUUAACCCUAAUCCACAUCUAUUUCUUAGAGAGUUGAUAUUUGUAAGUUGAUUUUAUUUCUGUCCUAAAAGAGAAGGAGAGACUAAAAUCAAGCAUAUCUCUAUUUUUCCUCUCAAAAUGAAUCUUCUUCCUCCAAAAAUCCUAAUAAAAAAUGAAACGUGAGCCUGUUACCACUUUUUUUUUGGUUAAAAGAGGAGAAAAUGUUUUGAUUGGUUGGAGCUUUUUGGGAUUGGAAGACCCAAGUUACACCAAUUUAGCCUCCCACAUUUGUUACGGGAGCAUUGAUUCUGCAAUAUGGAAGUGCGGCAUUCCAUAUUCCCCUUAAAAUGCCUCCUUUUUAGGAAACCAUGGAUUUCAUGUUGCGCCGUCUAUGAUUUUUGGGAGAGGGGGCUUUGGCAGCCCUCACUUCCCCAGUCAAACAUGCUCUAAAAGAAAGUGACCCCUGAUACCUAUGAAGAAUCAAAGAAGGACAGGAGAAGGACAAAGUAUGAAUGAAGAGAUGAAAGCAUUGUACAAAUGUGGGCAUAGAUGGUUGUGUUAAGACCAACAGAAAAGAAUGUGUAGGAAGUAAAUGGGUUUACAAAAUUAAAUUUAAACCAGAUGGAAGUGUUGACAGAUAUGAAGGUAAACUUGUUGCUAAAGAUUACGAUGAAAUCCUUAGCCCUGCUGUCUUUAGCUCUUGCAUUUGUUUGAGAACAAACACAGAUGGAUGUCAAGAAUGCAUUUUGACAUGGAGACCUUAGAGAAUAAGUCUACAUCGAUCAGCCUCCAAGAUUUGCUGAAGGAGACCCUAGCCUCAUGGUUUGCAAGUUGAACGGGGCAAUGGUCUAAAGCAGGAUUCAAGAGCCUGGUUCGGUAACUUUGCGAGUUGUGAAGAAGCAUGGUUUCAUCAAGAGCACAGCUGAUCACUCGUUGUUCAUUAAGACGGAGAUAAUUACAUUGCAAUACGUAUUUUUUAUGUAGAUGAAAUUGUAUUCACAGGAAGGUGCAAUGAAAGCAAUCUCAAAAUUAAAGUGGGUUCUUUCAGAAGCUUUCAAAUGAAGGACCUUGGAAGGUUGCAAUAUUUUUCUUAGGAUUGAGGUUGAAAGAAAGCCAGAUAGGUUGACAUUGGGCCAUCAUAAAUGCACGAUCAAUUUGUUAAAAAGGACGAAUAUGCUUGAUGCCAAGCCAAUAGCUGCACCUGCUGUGUUGAACGAAAGACUUUCGAGAUAAUGAAGAUUUUGGAAGCUUUAUUGCGAAUGCACAUGACCAUCACAACAUGGUGGGAGCUUUGCAGUAUCGAAUUUUUACAAAACUGAUAUAACUUAUGCAGUCAAUCAGAUCCCAAUUGGGCAGGAGAUUGCCCUAUAAGAAGAUCAGUUACUGGGAAUCGUGUAUUUGUUGGGAACAACUUGGUCUCUUGGUACGGUAGAAAGCAACAUACUGUGGCUAGAUCAAGUUCGGAAGCAGAAUGUAGAGCUAUGGCACUUGUAACUGCUGAAAUGAAUUGGAUUAGGAGAAUUGCAACUGCCCUUAGUUAAACAUUGUGCAGCAACAUUCUCUGCUAUGACAAUCAAAGUGCACUGGCCAUAGCGAUGAGUCCAGUAUUGUAUGGUACAACAAACAUGUUUAGGUUGAUCAUCAUUUUAUUAGAGAAAAGAUUGAGAUAAGGAGAUUGAAGGAAGAUUAAUCAGAACUAAGGAUCAAGUUGCCGACAUAUAUACUGAAGUGCUCACUAAAGAACGGCAAAGAGGCUUGAAGAGCAAGCUGUCCAUGAUCCGGACUGAUGUACAUCUUGAGGGUGAAUAUUACGAAUGCCAUUUACAUCCCUUGAGCAGGCUACUAUAAUUUUUUAUAUUUUUAGUGGUUGAUUUUUACAAUUCUGUAACUUCUGUAAAUAUAUCUAGGGCAUUACUAGAAGUUCAUUUAAAAAACCAAAGUAUGUUAACUCUUAUAUAAUGAAAUAUCAUGAAUCUGUGUUCCUAUUG